rnacentral:misc_RNA from 1 species
CGCAGCCGCGGUAAUUCCAGCUCCAAUAGCGUAUAUUAAAGUUGUUGUGGUUAAAAAGCUCGUAGUAGAACCUUGGGCCUGGCUGGCCGGUCCGCCUCACCGCGUGCACUGGUCCGGCCGGGCCUUUCCCUCUGUGGAACCGCAUGCCCUUCACUGGGUGUGCCGGGGAAACAGGACUUUUACUUUGAAAAAAUUUAGAGUGCUCCAGGCAGGCCUAUGCUCGAAUACAUUAGCAUGGAAUAAUAGAAUAGGACGUGUGGUUCUAUUUUGUUGGUUUCUAGGACCGCCGUAAUGAUUAAUAGGGACAGUCGGGGGCAUCAGUAUUCAAUUGUCAGAGGUGAAAUUCUUGGAUUUAUUGAAGACUAACUACUGCGAAAGCAUUUUGCCAAGGAUGUUUUCAUUUAUCAGGAACGAAAGUUAGGGGAUCGAAGACGAUCAGAUACCGUCGUAGUCUUAACCAUAAACUAUGCCGACUAGGGAUCGGACGAUGUUAUUUUUUGACUCGUUCGGCACCUUACGG